rnacentral:rRNA from 1 species
CGUUAGCGGCGGACGGGUGAGUAACACGUGGGUAACCUACCUAUAAGACUGGGAUAACUUCGGGAAACCGGAGCUAAUACCGGAUAAUAUUUAGAACCGCAUGGUUCGAUAGUGAAAGAUGGUUUUGCUAUCACUUAUAGAUGGACCUGCGCCGUAUUAGCUAGUUGGUAAGGUAACGGCUUACCAAGGCGACGAUACGUAGCCGACCUGAGAGGGUGAUCGGCCACACUGGAACUGAGACACGGUCCAGACUCCUACGGGAGGCAGCAGGC